rnacentral:rRNA from 1 species
AGUGAACGCUGGCGGUAUGCCUAACACAUGCAAGUCGAACGGCCACACAGUAAGGUCUUUCUCUUACGGGUGGCGAGUGGCGGACGGGUGAGGGAUACACCGGAAUCUACUUUUUCGUGGGGGAUAACGUAGGGAAACGUACGCUAAUACCGCAUACGACCUACUUGUGUAUGCAGGGGAUCUUCGGACCUUGGUCGAUUGAAUCAGCCGAUGUCGGAUCAGCUAGUUGGCGGGGUAAAGGCCCACCAAGGCGACGAUCCGUAGCUGGUCUGAGAGGAUGAUCAGCCACACUGGAACUGAGACACGGUCCAGACUCCUACGGGAGGCAGCAGUGGGGAAUAUUGGACAAUGGGCGCAAGCCUGAUCCAGCCAUACCGCGUGGGUGAAGAAGGCUUUCGGGUUGUAAAGCCCUUUUGUUGGGAAAGAAAAGCAGCAGGUUAAUACCCCGCUGUUCUGACGGUACCCAAAGAAUAAGCACCGGCUAACUUCGUG